AAUACCAGCAGAUGCAGCUCUUCAGAUUCAGAAACACAGAAACAUUCUGACUGCAGGAUGCUGCCACUGAAGCUGUGGAUGGUGUGGGCCGCAGUUUUUCUGGUGGUUUCCCUGUCAGCGGCUCCUUUGGAGGAGAAGGAGCAGGAGCAGGAGCAGGAGGAAGUG